UGGGGAAUAUUGCGCAAUGGGGGGAACCCUGACGCAGCCAUGCCGCGUGAAUGAAGAAGGCCUUAGGGUUGUAAAGUUCUUUCGGUAUUGAGGAGAGGAAGGUUGAUGUGUUAAUAGCACAUCAAAUUGACGUUAAAUACAGAAGAAGCACCGGCUAACUCCGUGCCAGCAGCCGCGGUAAUACGGAGGGUGCGAGCGUUAAUCGGAAUAACUGGGCGUAAAGGGCACGCAGGCGGUUAUUUAAGUGAGGUGUGAAAGCCCCGGGCUUAACCUGGGAAUUGCAUUUCAGACUGGGUAACUAGAGUACUUUAGGGAGGGGUAGAAUUCCACGUGUAGCGGUGAAAUGCGUAGAGAGAUGUGGAGGAAUACCGAAGGCGAAGGCAGCCCCUUGGGAAUGUACUGACGCUCAUGUGCGAAAGCGUGGGGAGCGAACAGGAUUAGAUACCCUGGUAGUCCACGCUGUAAACGCUGUCGAUUUGGGGGUUGGGGUUUAACUCUGGCGCCCGUAGCUAACGUGAUAAAUCGACCGCCUGGGGAGUACGGCCGCAAGGUUA
rnacentral:rRNA from 1 species